rnacentral:rRNA from 1 species
GAGAUGGUUUGGUGCUCGAAAGAGAACCUGCACACAGGUGCUGCAUGGCUGUCGUCAGCUCGUGUCGUGAGAUGUUGGGUUAAGUCCCGCAACGAGCGCAACCCUUGCCAUUAGUUGCUACAUUCAGUUGAGCACUCUAAUGGGACUGCCGGUGACAAACCGGAGGAAGGUGGGGAUGACGUCAAGUCCUCAUGGCCCUUAUAGGUGGGGCUACACACGUCAUACAAUGGCUGGUACAAAGGGUUGCCAACCCGCGAGGGGGAGCUAAUCCCAUAAAGCCAGUCGUAGUCCGGAUCGCAGUCUGCAACUCGACUGCGUGAAGUCGGAAUCGCUAGUAAUCGUGGAUCAGAAUGUCACGGUGAAUACGUUCCCGGGUCUUGUACACACCGA